rnacentral:rRNA from 1 species
AACGAACGCUGGCGGCAGGCUUAACACAUGCAAGUCGAACGCCCCGCAAGGGGAGUGGCAGACGGGUGAGUAACGCGUGGGAAUCUACCCUGAUCUGCGGGAUAGCGCCGGGAAACUGGAAUUAAUACCGCAUAUGUCCUGAGGGACAAAGAUUGAUCGGUUCAGGAUGAGCCCGCGUCCGCUUAGCUAGUUGGUGGGGGAAAGGCCUACCAAGGCGACGAUCGGUAGCUGGUCUAAGAGGAUGAUCGGCCACAUUGGGACUGAGACACGGCCCAAACUCCUACGGGAGGCAGCAGUGGGGAAUAUUGGACAAUGGGCGCAAGCCUGAUCCAGCCAUGCCGCGUGAGUGAUGAAGGUCUUAGGAUUGUAAAGCUCUUUCACCGGGGACGAUAAUGACGGUACCCGGAGAAGAAGCCCCGGCUAACUUCGUGCCAGCCGCCGCGGUAA